rnacentral:rRNA from 1 species
UACGUAGGCAGCAAGCGUUGUUCGGAAUUACUGGGCGUAAAGGGCGCGUAGGCGGUUCGCUAAGUUGAAUGUGAAAACUCUGGGCUUAACCCAGAGCCUGCAUCCAAAACUGGCGAACUGGAGUACUGGAGGGGAAAGCGGAAUUCCUGGUGUAGCGGUGAAAUGCGUAGAUAUCAGGAAGAACACCCGUGGCGAAGGCGGCUCUCUGGGACGGUACUGACGCUGAGACGCGAAAGCGUGGGGAGCGAACAGG